GUUUUUCCAUGUUUCUCAAAUAAAACUCUGGUGUCAUCAAGAAACAUGGUGGAGGGAGACAUGAAGACUUUAGAGACAGGAACCACUGCAGAAAUAUCAGGAGAUGGGGAGGCAGAGGAAAGAAAGGAGAGAUCUGUGGAUCCCGUGAGCACCCCAAAUUGGAACCACUCCUUACCGUGCCUCAAGGAAGCAACAGACCUCCAAACUGCAUGGUGUACCUCAAAAGAGCAAGACCCAAGCAAAAAGAAUGCUGCCUGAUUUCCUGACAUUAACAAUGAACACAGCCAGACUCAAGAGGAGGAAGCUACUGGGACCACGGCAGUCAAGGAAACACCAUCAACACCCAGUCUUCCUCCCACAUUACUCAGAGACUUUUAUCUUUGCCAUCCUUAAACACAUUCCUGCAGGUCUCCAGAUCCCUUCCAGCCCAUCUUAGAUAAAACUGUGCAGGAAAAAUGUGCUUCUAAUAUAGAGGUUUCCAUCUGGACACCUUGUAUUUGAAUCACAACUCAAAC
rnacentral:lncRNA from 1 species